UUUGACAUGUACGGAAUUUGCCAGAGAUGGCUUAGUGCUCGAAAGAGAACCGUAACACAGGUGCUGCAUGGCUGUCGUCAGCUCGUGUCGUGAGAUGUUGGGUUAAGUCCCGCAACGAGCGCAACCCUUGUCAUUAGUUGCUACAUUCAGUUGGGCACUCUAAUGAGACUGCCGGUGACAAGCCGGAGGAAGGUGGGGAUGACGUCAAGUCCUCAUGGCCCUUAUAGGUGG
rnacentral:rRNA from 1 species